ACGAACGUUGGCGGCGUGGAUAGGCAUGCAAGUCGAUACGAAUCCCAGCCUUGUAGCAAUACCGGGCUGGGGAAGUGGCGAAAGGGGCAGUAAUGCAUGGACAACCUACCCUGGGGACCGGGAUAGCCUUCCUAACGGAAGGGUAAUACCGGGCGAUGUGGCUGAGGGGCAUCUCUUGGCCAUGAGAUGAAUUUCGCCUCGGGAGGGGUUCAUGUCGUAUUAGCUUGUUGGCGGGGUAACGGCCCACCAAGGCAAAGAUGCGUAGCGGGUGUGAGAGCACGACCCGCGCCACUGGCACUGAGACACUGGCCAGACUCCUACGGAGAGCUGCAGUCGAGGAUCUUCGGCAAUGGGCGCAAGCCUGACCGAGCGACGCCGCGUGCGCGAUGAAGGCCUUCGGGUUGUAAAGCGCUUUAGUGGGGAGAAAGCCGCAAGGUUGAUCUAUCCCAAGAAUAAGCACACGGGCUAAGUUCGUGCCAGCAGCCGCGGUUAAGACGAACCGUGCGAACGUUUGUUCGGAAUCACUGGGCUUAAAGGGCGCGUAGGCGGCCGACCAAGUCCGGGGUGAAAGCCUCCAGCUCAACUGGAGAAGUGCCCUGGAUACUGGGCCGGCUCGAGCGAGGUAGGGGCAGAUGGAACUUCCGGUGUAGCGGUGAAAUGCGUUGAUAUUCGGAAGGAACGGCCGGUGGCGAAAGCGAUCUGCUGGACCUCUUACUGACGCUGAGGCGCGAAAGCUAGGGGAGCGAACGGGAUUAGAUACCCCGGUAGUCCUAGCCUUAAACGAUGGGUACUAGAUAGUGGACUUAACAUGGGUUCACUGUCGAAGCAAAAGUGGUAAGUACCCCGCCUGGGGAGUAUGGUCGCAAGGCUGAAACUCAAAGGAAUUGACGGGGGCUCACACAAGCGGUGGAGCAUGUGGCUUAAUUCGAGGCUACGCGAAGAACCUUAUCCCAGACUUGACAUGUGCGAAAGCGGUCGGAAGUAGCCCGCGGAAACGUGGGGCCAACGGUAUCCAGUCCGGAACCGACUACAGUGCUGCAUGGCUGUCGUCAGCUCGUGUCGUGAGAUGUUGCGUUAAGUCGCGUAACGAGCGAAACCCUUGUCCUUAGUUGCCAGCGGGUCAUGCCGGGGACUCUAGGGAGACUGCCGGUGUUAAACCGGAGGAAGGUGGGGAUGACGUCAAGUCCUCAUGGCCUUUAUGUCUGGGGCUGCACACGUGCUACAAUGGCGUGAACAAAGGGACGCAAACCCGCGAGGGGGAGCCAAUCCCAAAAAACACCGCCCCAGUUCAGAUCGUAGGCUGCAACUCGCCUGCGUGAAGUUGGAAUCGCUAGUAAUCGCGGGUCAGCAACACCGCGGUGAAUGUGUUCCUUGAGCCCUUGUACCACACCGCCCGUCAAGCCACGAAAGGGGGGGACGGCCGAAGCCGCCUUUGUAAGCGUCUACGCCGGACUCUCUGAUUGGGACUAAGUCGUAACAAGGU
rnacentral:rRNA from 1 species